UCCUGAUGUAUUUUCAAACUAGCAUGAAAUACUAACUGAAACUUAGAAAGAAAGCACUGCAAGGAAAGGAUAUUUGCUUUGUGUGCUGUGUGGGGAAAUGAGAGUGUCCAGCAGGGAAGCUGACAACAGACCCUGAGGAAACUGCAGUCCCAAGGAUUACGGCCUUUGCAAAGUGUGGCCGCGUGUGAAGCCGGUCAUUAAUGACAGCAACACUCCUAUCCAGGCUGAAUAAAUCCUUCAACGGCAUUCUUCACUUGUGGCCGUUUGAUGUGGUUCCAGAAGCUUCAAACGCAGGAGGCAUCCAAACUGCUGGAAGUUGAAAAGGCUGAAACUCCAUCAUCGCGGGAGCCCCGAACAGCAGCAGGGUGGCCUGGCAGUGCCUUGCGUGACCAAAGGUGCACCCACACCAAGUCCUUCCUCUCUCCUGCUCUGCAGCGUGGCAGCACUCGGAGUGUCUUUCCGAGGGGUUGGGACUGCUGGAGAGCCCAGCAGGGUGGUGGCAGGGUGCUGCGGGCAGUGUUGCUGCAGCCGUCACCCAGUGAGCACAGUGGGACCAAUCGUCUGUCUGUUGGGGGGCAGCUGCUGGAAGGAACAACAGCGAUACGUGUGCCCUGGCUCUGGUGAAACGACUGGUAAUGUGGCAUCAAGGCCUCUGCUUGCUGUACUAACAGGCCUGGCUGCAGGAAGAAGGUGGAGAAGGUGAAGGUGAUGGCAGAGACUGUUGUGCCCAUGAGACUCUCUCCUCAGGUGGUGUUUUGGGGAUGUAUGGUUUCUGUGCCUUUUGUUGUAGUUUGGGAGUUGGUUCCCGAUGUUGCGAAGCCCAGUUGUUUGGUAACCUAGUGACUUUAAAUGGGCUUUGUCUACUCGGAAGCUACAGCCAAGAAAUAAAUGGAUGGAUGGAUGGUUGGAU